GGAGCACACUCUCAUAUCCAUCUCACCCCUUUGUGCAUUGCCGCGUGGGUCCCCUUUUGGCUUGUUCCAAGGGGGUGACCUGCGUUUUUACAUAGACACCCUUUGAAUGCAUGUGUAGAACGUCUUACUUUUUGCGAUCACACGCAAUCAAUACAACUUUCAACAACGGAUCUCUUGGCUCUCGCAUCGAUGAAGAACGCAGCGAAAUGCGAUACGUAAUGUGAAUUGCAGAAUUCAGUGAAUCAUCGAAUCUUUGAACGCACCUUGCGCCCCUUGGUAUUCCGAGGGGCACACCCGUUUGAGUGUCGUGAAUACUCUCAACCUUCUUGGUUUCUUUGACCACGAAGGCUUGGACUUUGGAGGUUUUUCUUGCUGGCCUCUUUUGAAGCCAGCUCCUCCUAAAUGAAUGGGUGGGGUCCGCUUUGCUGAUCCUCGACGUGAUAAGCAUUUCUUCUACGUCUCAG
rnacentral:misc_RNA from 1 species